UAUAUUUAGAGUUUGAUCCUAGCUCAGGAUGAACGCUGGCGGCGUGGGUAAGGCAUGCAAGUCAAACGGUUGAGUGCUAGCAAUAGCGCUCAGCAGUGGCGAACGAGGUAGUAAUAAGCAGGUACGAACCGAGAAGUCAGGAAUAGUCCGCCGAAAGGCGGGUUAAUACUUGAUGGUCUGAGCAUCUCACAAAGGUUCGAUGCAGUUAAAAGUCUAUAAAGUCAUAAAGUCUAUAAAGUCGGAAUUUGUUUCCACUUUACAGACUUUCGACUUUAAGGACUGCACCGAGGUUUUGCGAGGUGCUUAGUAAAGAUUUAUCGCUUCUUGAUCGGCCUGUUCGAUAUCAGCUAGUUGGUAGGGUAAUGGCCUACCAAGGCUAUGACGUCUAGGGGAGCUGAGAGGCUGACCCCCACCGAUGGAACUGAGACACGGUCCAUACACCUACGGGUGGCCGCAGUCGAGAAUCUUCCGCAAUGGGCGAAAGCCUGACGGAGCGACGCCGCGUGAUUGAUGAAGUCCUUAGGGAUGUAAAAAUCUUUUAUGAGGGAGGAAGUUUAUUGACGUUACCUCAUGAAUAAGGGGUUGCAAAACUCGUGCCAGCAGCAGCGGUAAUACGAGUGCCCCGAGCGUUAUCCGGAAUCAUUGGGCGUAAAGGAUGUGUAGGCGGUCUUGUUAGUCUUUUGUUAAGGCUCCCGGCUUAACCGGGAAAAUGCAAAGGAAACGGCAAGACUUGAGGGUGCGAGGGGUCUAUGGAACUCAUGGUGUAGGGGUGAAAUCUGUUGAUAUCAUGGGGAACACCAAAAGCGAAGGCAAUAGACUGGAGCAUUCCUGACGCUGAAACAUGAAAGCGUGGGUAGCGAAUGGGAUUAGAUAAACGCUCAUCCCGAUGAACAUCGGGAUUCGCUUCUGUGAAAGGAGGCGGAGAGCAAAUGUCUCAUCUGUUGGCAACAAUAGAAAGUAAAUUUGUCCCGAUUUUGAUUGCCAAAAGCAAUGACAAAAUCGAGGAUCCCGAUAAGCGUAAGCGACAUCGGGAGCUAUAUGCUGGAAACUCUGCGAAUGCGAGAGUACCGAAAGGUGACAAUCUCUCGACGAUGCAGACAAUCAGCAGGGAAGAUUUGCAAACUGUAUUAAGGAAAAGUUCUUUGGGUGGGGGCAGAAAUAGGCACUAUAUCAAGGGAAUGGGUGAAUAAUUAAGGCAACCUGUCCGGAAGGUUGAUUACACUUAGUUAUUCGCAAAAAUGAUUCUUCAAGAGAAGAAUAUAGAACAUUCCAAUUUAAUGGUAUAGACGGGUUCGAUUCCCGUUGCCUCCACCAAUAAUAAGUUUUAUUACUUAUUUCCUUAAUAUAGUUUGCAAAAACCCUCAGAGACUACAUGCCAAACCCCCUCCUCAGAUUUUUUGAAAAAAUCUGAGGAGGGGUGAAGAUAUAGUCCGAACUGCAUAGCGAUAUGCAGAGCGAAGCAGAAAUGACUUCGCCGUCAGCAAGAUUUUAGAUUUAAAUUUUUAGAUUUAAGUUUCAAUUUUGUUGUCGCAACAAAAUUGACCCCAGUAGUCCACGCCCUAAACUAUCUUCUCUGGCUUUUCGGAGUAUCGACCCUCUGAGAGGCGAAGCUAACGCGUUAAGAGAAGCGCCUGGGUAGUACGACCGCAAGGUUAAAACUCAAAGGAAUAGACGGGGACUUGCACAAGCGGUGGAUCAUGUGGUUUAUCACAAGGACGGUUAGACAGGUGAUGCAUGGCCGUCGUCAGUUCGUGGUUUGAAUUGUUCCCUUAAGUGGGGUAACGAACGCAACCCUCGUUGCCUGUUAUAAGUGUCAGGCGAGACUGCCCCCGAUUUUGAGCAGAAGCUUAAAAUCGAGUUAUAAAGUUGAAAGUUAUUCCGCCUAGGGCGGAUCCUCUUUCGGAGGAAAAGUUCAUAAAGUAAAGUAAGAGAAUUUAAUUUCCGACUUUUAAACUUUACAAACUUGAUAAACUUUUUACUUUGAUUUUGCUUCCGAGCAAAAUCGGGGGAGGAAGGCGAGGAUGACGCCAGGUCAGCAUGUCCCUCUGAUACCCUGGGCUACACACGUGAUACAAUGGCCGUUACAACGGGACGCAAUGCCGAGAGGCGGAGCAAAUCCUUAUAAAAGCGGCCUAAGUUCGGAUUGAGGUCUGCAACUCGACCUCAUGAAGCUGGAAUCGCUAGUAAUCACAGGUCAGCUAUACUGUGGUGAAUACGUUCUCAAGUCUUGUACUCACCGCCCGUCAACUCAAGGGAGUCGGAAGUACCCGAAGUCUGCCAUUAGGCGGCCUACGGUAAGUUCGAUGACAGGGAGUAAGUCGUCAUUGCACAAUGCAAAUUGCGACCUGUCAAGGCAACUU
rnacentral:rRNA from 1 species